rnacentral:rRNA from 1 species
AACGAACGCUGGCGGCGUGCCUAACACAUGCAAGUCGAACGGAAUGAGGGGGUUGCUCCUCAUUUAGUGGCGCACGGGUGAGUAACGCGUAGAUAAUCUGCCUGAUGAUCUGGGAUAACAUUUCGAAAGAGGUGCUAAUACCGGAUAAGCCCACGACGGCUUCGGCCGACGCGGGAAAAGGGGGGGACCAUCUGGCCUUCUGUCAUCAGAUGAGUCUGCGUACCAUUAGCUAGUUGGUGGGGUAAAGGCCUACCAAGGCUACGAUGGUUAGCUGGUCUGAGAGGAUGAUCAGCCAACCUGGAACUGAGACACGGUCCAGACUCCUACGGGAGGCAGCAGUGGGGAAUUUUGCGCAAUGGGCGAAAGCCUGACGCAGCAACGCCGCGUGAGUGAGGAAGGCUUUCGGGUCGUAAAGCUCUGUCAAUGGGAAAGAAGUGUAUUGUGGCUAAUAUCCACGAUACUUGACGGUACCCAUAAAGGAAGCACCGGCUAACUCCGUGCCAGCCGCCGCUGUAAAAC